UACGAGGGGGGCAAGCGUUGUUCGGAAUUAUUGGGCGUAAAGGGCGCGUAGGCGGUGCGGUAAGUCACCUGUGAAACCUCUAGGCUCAACCUAGAGCCUGCAGGCGAAACUGCCGUGCUUGAGGACUGGAGAGGAGACUGGAAUUUACGGUGUAGCGGUGAAAUGCGUAGAUAUCGUAAGGAAGACCAGUGGCGAAGGCGGGUCUCUGGACAGUUCCUGACGCUGAGGCACGAAGGCCAGGGGAGCAAACGGG
rnacentral:rRNA from 1 species